rnacentral:rRNA from 1 species
GAGAGUUUGAUUCUGGCUCAGGACGAACGCUGGCGGCGUGCCUAACACAUGCAAGUCGAGCGAGGAGAUUCCCUUCGGGGAUGAACCUAGCGGCGGACGGGUGAGUAACACGUGGGCAACCUACCUUAUAGAGGGGAAUAGCCUUCCGAAAGGAAGAUUAAUACCGCAUAACAUUACAUUUUCGCAUGAAAAAGUAAUUAAAGGAGUAAUCCGCUAUAAGAUGGGCCCGCGGCGCAUUAGCUAGUUGGUGAGGUAACGGCUCACCAAGGCGACGAUGCGUAGCCGACCUGAGAGGGUGAUCGGCCACAUUGGGACUGAGACACGGCCCAGACUCCUACGGGAGGCAGCAGUGGGGAAUAUUGCACAAUGGGGGAAACCCUGAUGCAGCAACGCCGCGUGAGUGAUGAAGGUCUUCGGAUCGUAAAGCUCUGUCUUCAGGGACGAUAAUGACGGUACCUGAGGAGGAAGCCACGGCUAACUACGU